rnacentral:rRNA from 1 species
AUUGAACGCUGGCGGCAGGCCUAACACAUGCAAGUCGAACGAGUGGCGGACGGGUGUGGAAUGUCUGUGAAACUGCCUGAUGGAGGGGGAUAACUACUGGAAACGGUAUCUAAUACCGCAUACCAUCGGAUGUGCCCUGAUGGGAUUAGCUAGUAGGUUGGGUAACGGCUCACCUAGGCGACGAUCCCUAUCUGGUCUGAGAGGAUGAACAGCCACACUGGAACUGAGACACGGUCCAGACUCCUACGGGAGGCAGCAGUGGGGAAUAUUGCACAAUGGGCGCAAGCCUGAUGCAGCCAUGCCGCGUGUAUGAAGAAGGCCUUCGGGUUGUAAAGUACUUUCAGUGGGGAGGCGUUACCGGCAGAAGAAGCACCGGCUAACUCCGUGCCAGCAGCCGCGGUAAUAC